UCCCACGAUUUCCUCGCGCCUCUUCGGUGGGAGGGACUAAGACAUGAGGAAGGGAGGCAAGCGGAGGAGGCAAUUUAAGCGACAGGAGAAGCACCUGUAGACUACAUCGUAAAGUUUCAUGGCUCCUGUGUUAAGGUACUUCUGGGUAGAUGAAGAAGUGCAGGCGGCGCAUACUGCUGUUUGUGCAAAGCAGCAACCUUCUCACACGUUAUCUCAAGCGGAGCCUGCACAGUGUGACCGAAGUCCUCCAGACUCCACCUGCUCCACCUCUUUCGCUGCAUUCAUCCCGUCCGCUUUGUAACGUCAAAACAAGUCCAGGAUGCAGCCUGACUGUCAGGUUGUGUCGACCUGCAUUCGUUCAUGUAAAUGAGCAUUUACACAGCCAG